AACAAUUUUACCAACUAUUUUGCUGGUCUAAUAAAAGAGAUCACAUUUACCCAAAGGAUCCAGCCUAGUCUGCUGUUG